GCAGCUCAGUGGGCGGAAGUUCAUUUGCCAGCAACAUCACCGAAGGAUCCAACACCUCAGUAAGUGGCCGUUCUGUGGAUCUGAGCUUUCGAGUUGGUAUUGAGGAAAAAGGUUUCUACACAGAGAAUUUCCACUCAGCCGCCUGGGUUUUCCGAGGGGAUGAUGGGAAUCCUGAGAACAGUCCCAGAUGUCUUAGUAACAAACCUCGACCAGUAGCUGUUCGAGAACGAACGGUGAGGCUCUUCAAAGGAACUGGCGAUUACCCCUG